GUCAGAACUUUUCGCAGAGACGUACGACUUCGGUACUGCAGCGUGUCUGCGAUAAGUUCCCACUACCGUCCUCCCGCCCCCACGGCACGACUACCUUGGGGUGAUGUCGGCGUCCGGUGGAAGGGAGUGAGUUUUGGUGGUGACCGCGUCCUCGCUGCGCACCCUUGUGAUAUUGUACAGCUUCAUUGUAAAUACCAUCGUCACUCAGCCUAGUCAGCUCUGUAUAUACUCAUCUACGCAGAAAUUAAACAAAAGAGAAAUAAGCGAUAACCGUGUGUCGUAUUCUGGAAUAUUCCAUUACAACCGCCAUUGCGGUAGGCUUAGCUCUGCCCAUUUCUUUCAAGAUGGCGUCCUCUUUGACGUUAGGCCUAACCGGGGGUUGCGUCAUCACUUUUUAGGGUUGGCUUGCCGUUAUUAGGGAAUUUAAAUGUGCGUUUUGUUCUGGUUUUGUCUUGAAUAUUUCAUCGCUACGGCUUCGUUCAUUUCAAAUUUUGUCUCGAUACAUCUUUGACCGGAAUUCGUUUUUUUUUUCUUCUUUGUAGCGUUUGGAGUCUACGUCGCGCCGUUUCUGCCUUUAUGCUCUUUCCCCCCAUCUCUCUAGGUCGAUGAAUUUAGUAGUUCUUUUUUGCGGAAUACGUCGUCCUAUGCGGAAUUUUCGAUGCGAAAUAUAUCGUGGUAUCGUCUCAUCCGACCAACGGGAAACAAUGGAAAUUGCAACUACGCACUACCGCCGUGUUCUAUGUACAGUCUGCGACGUGUCGUCGGUGCAUUCCCAAGUUGGGCUAAGUAUCACAAAUCGAAGUAUCAACUUUUAAUUCACCUAGUAGUAUCUUCACAACAAAAAAAAUUUGCAAUAAUUUUAAUUUAUUUGUUGCUUUCAUAAGUUUAAGCAAUGUUAAAGACUGCAAUGUUCAGUUUUCGCAGCUUUUUUUGUUUUUUUAUGCUGGAUAAGGAAAUUGCUGAGUAAUGACAGUUUAAUAUCAACCACACUAUUAACACAUGUUGGUCCUAUACAUUUCCUCCCCUUUUCUAGCCACAGAUUCAAGUACUGAAAUUCUGGGAAAAGGAAAAUUUCAUAAGUAUUGAAAGGAUUUGCAGAGAAGUCUGGCAUAUUUUGUGGUUUACAAGUUGCAAGGUUUCUGAAAAUAUCAAGAGCAAGCAUCAAAGAUUACUCAGUCGGAAUGGGUUUGACUGGAUUCAAUCUUUUUUUAAAUCCUUUUUGAGUUGCACAAGUACAGGAACAAGUUAUUUCGUAAAAAAAAAAAGGCCAAGUUUUGAGUCACUUUUUUUUCUUAGUUCCAGGUUCAAAGACAAGUAGAGUUGAAGUAUAAGGUGAAAAGUUUAAGCGAGGUAGUCCAGUGGAGUUUGUACAGCAGUAUAAAGUGAAAAAAGGAAGUAGAAGAUAUUUGAAGCAAGGUAGACAAGUAAAGCAUGAAGUUGAAAAAACAAAGUUGAAGUUGCAGCAAGAUAGGUGACAAGGUAAAAGUUUAAGCGGAAUCAAGUGUGGAAAGCGCUCAAGGUAGAAGUUCAAGCAAGUAGACUAAGUAAUACAGAAUGAAGUGUGCAAAAAUGUUGAAGGUAGAAGUUCAAGCAAGUAGACUGAGUAAUACAGAAUGAAGCUAGAACAGAAUCAAGCGUGGAAAAUGCUGAAGGUAGAAGUUCAAGCAAGUAGACUAAGUAAUACAGAAUGAAGCUAGAACAGAAUCAAGUGUGGAAAGUGCUCAAGGUAGAAGUUCAAGUUGACAAGUAGACUAAGUAAUACAGGAUGAAGGUAGAAAAGAAUCAAGUGUGAAAAGUGUUCAAGGUUGAAGUUCAAGCAAGUUGACAAGUAGAUUAUGUGAAUCAAAACUGAAGGGAAAAGUUCAAGCAAGGUAGAUUUGGCAGAACAGACAAGUCUCAAAUCCAAGCUUAAGUUCAAGCAAGACAAAAGUUUCUCAAGCUGAAUAUUCACCUUGCCGUACAGUUCAAGCAAGUGUGUUUCUCUGGUGGAUCUAGGAUAGGAGGUUGAACACCCGUAAUGUACUCCAAAGCUCGUCCAAAAGGGGGCCAAGCCGCUUUCAAAUUGGAUACACCGAAAGGUUGACAGAAUGUCUACUCUCCGUGCAACUAGCGUCUGAGAAUGUCUUCAUGCCAAGAUUGGUUCGGGAGUAGUGCACCUUUCUUACAUUUCUAGUUCUUAGUCUCUUUUUCUUGCAGUAGUACCCCAAGUUUCAAGUCAGGCUAUUUUCCUCAAGAAUCUUAACUUUUUGCAAUCUUUCAUUUCUCCUUGCAGUAGUGCAUAGAAGUUGGAUUCAAGGGUGUUUGUCUUUCAGGCGGAAUCUCCCAACGUUCAAGGCAGAUGCUUAAAGAGGCUAUAUUUCGAAGAUGCGGUAGCGACCAAGCGUCCAGUACGAUUACUACUACGGUCCCGGAAAAACGUCUGGCAGCUGCGAAUUUGAAACCGGUCGUGAUUGCGUCCCCGUUUGUCUGGUAAAGCUGAAGUAGACGCCUGAAUAAUCCUUCCCCGUUUGAUGUGCCAAGGUAUUGUCUUCCCCCUGUGGAACCUUCCAAGUCUUUCCUUUUCACGUGUUUUUGUUCUGUGCAGCUUGGGUAAUCCUGCCUUACUUUUCCCCGUAAUGACUCGCCCUUUUGGGAACCUCGAUUGCAUUCUUUAAAAAAACGCCUUGUUGCUUUAUGUGCGUUGCACAGUUUCCAUUAACGCUGUCUCGCUCGAGUAAUCGUUUCAAGGUAUCUUACUGCUGCACGCCAGCUUUGCCCGGUUAUACUUGGCCGUGUGUUGCUAUCUUGGGGAACCUUGCAGCUAAGUGGUUUUAGUGCAUUCUUGCCUGGGGUGGAAGGGGGGGGUUACCGACUGUAUGCCUUCGCUUUUAGCCCUUGCAGCAAACUAGGUAUGCCACGCUCGCAGCCUGGGAUGCACUCUAGGUCGAAAGAAAGGAACCCCUCCUUGACACGCCUCGUAGCACAGUGUUCUCCCACCAAGUUCCGCUUCCUUCGCUGCGCACCUCUUCGUCAGAACACCGGUUUGGAGCCUUGUCCUGCACGGGCGAUAUGUAAGCACAGUGUUGCUGGGAUGGUUUCUUUUGGGCAUUUGCGGUCUUGAGAAUGCAGUAAAAGUUGACUGUUGGAACGAUUUUGCUUGGGAAUAAUUGUGUCUUGUUUGACUCCUUUUUGUGUUUGUGCGCCGGGGAAUGGGGGGGGGGGGGGGGGAAAGUUUGGCGAGCCUUUGCAGCAUCAAGUUUGGUCUCGGUUGAACACGCUUGCGAGUGGCACGUUUUUCCGGUAACCUUUCCUCCAUUCUCCGUUUUUCGUGCUGGUGGGUGGUUGCUUUGGGCAGGGGGGGGGGGGGGGGGGGGGGUGAUCAAAUCGUUCGUGUGAGUUUUUGCAGAAACCACAAGACCCGAAAGAACGACAAGGGGCUAAAGAUUCCAGCUGGGCCAUUUGUAAGCCAGUAAAUCUUUUAGUAGCAUCUCUUCCAACAUUUAGUGAACACUGCGGCUUUCAUCUUUCCAUAGAACGAAGUAUUGGAAUCUUGGGUUAAAGUGAGCUAACUAGUGGGGGGGGGGGGGGGGGGAGGAUAUCAAAAUGGUUGGCAUAGUUUUACAGAGCCCUGCAAGACUGCAAAAGCUGGGGGCAAGCUAAUACGGCCGGCCGGGGACUGCUGUAAGCAGAGUUGGAUUUUCCCACAUAUAUUUCAUCUGUACUUUUUUGUUUUGGGUGGACAUGAGUUUUUUUUUGUUUUUUUUUGGGGGGGGGGGGGGGGGGGUCACCAGGUCGUUGGCAUAGUUUUUGCAGGUCCACAGAUACCUGGCCGAAGGCUCGAAGAACACUUGUCCGGCCUGGCAGGCUGUAAGCAGUUCAUUGCAUCAUUUUUACAUUGAGAGAUCAUUUAUAUAGGUUUUGAUAUGAAGUAAUAUUACUAAAUGGCUGAUGAGAUAACAAUUGCCAUGUAAGUAGAAGAGAUUAAUAUGCAAGAGUUCUACCACGUAACUUUAGAAGAGUUGGUAUUGUAGCCUCGUAUACGGAGGGGGUGGGUGGCUACACGCGAGUUUUUACAGAAUUCGAUGGAUCCGAUUAACCUGAGCGUGCUGAAGACUGGUAGUGGCAACUUUUUCAUUGAAUUUUUGGGAUGGAGGAGGGGGGGCAGGGUAGGGAGGGGUGACCGGAUGGUUGGCGCGAGUUUUUGCAGAUCCAUCGGUGGACUGGCGUUCCAAGUAGUCGAGUACAACCUGCUGCAAGUUGAUUUUCGGUAUUGUUCCUUUUUCGUACAGUAAUAGUUUGAGCCAUCCGAGGCUUAGAAGUAUGAAACAAUACACUCAAUAAUUAAUAUUUACAUACACUUAAACUUUUGGGAGGUUCAAGAGAAUAAUAAUUGCAUUGCUCUAGAACACUUAAAGCUUUUGGGAGGUUCAAGAGAAUUUUGUGGGGAUGAAGGUUAGUGAAUUAACUGAAACCAGUGCAGAGGUAAUUUUGGACACAAGUCUUGCCUGCUGUGAGCAGUAUGUAGGGAAAUUGGGGGGGGGCGGGGGGGGGGGGGGGGGUAAAUAGUUUUCCAGUUCUUUGCAGCCCCCAUCAAGGUACAGCCUCUGGUGUCCGUCCAACCCUGUGUGGUGGAUCCGGUAUGAAAACUCGUGAGCACACAAAUGGAGUUUGUCACAUUUCAUGAAACCGCUUCAAUACUGUCGCUCGAGUCAUUUUUGUAUACUGGUUUUUCGAUGCUGCCGAACAUGUUUUGGGGAAGUCGUCCGAAGGGAUUGUCCGAGGAUCUGGGGAGUGGGUUGUUUUCUCCAAGGGGUGGGGUGUGCCUGCGUGUGUGUGUGUGCGUGCGUGCGUGGUCUUUGCAGCUUUGCGCGUCGCCGUUCAGUCUCCUGGUCGUCGUCUCUUCCUCCCCCUCACACGUGGAAAACGUCCGCACAAGUCCCUGGCGUGGUUUGCUAUCCCCCCUCGAGCGAAGGAUGCAGGGAGUACCACUGUAUUGCUCUGGCUGGUGGCUGGAUGUCUUGCUGGGAAGCAGCCUGCUUACACCCGGGCGGUUCCGCGCGUGCUUAGGCAGUCGGAGCGAGUUCUACCAUCCUGGCUUUGGUCCCGUCUGGAGGAGUUCCUAACAUGGCUGGGUCCCGUACCGCAAGGAGUCCCGUUGCGUCUGCACCCUUUCCCGCAAGAGGGCUGCACCCAUCUACGCCGUCCCGUCCUGCCCGUGGCGUAACGAGUGGCCGUGAGAGCGCCUUCCCCCACCCUGUCUUGGGCCUCGUGUGGCUGUACGGAGAGCCUACCUGCUGCGUGUGUGUCGCUUGGUGGCUGUUCCCCCGGUCCGGCACGGGUUCCAGUUUGUGCACGUGCGCAGGAGGAAGGCGGAAGCAAGGAGUCUCCGAGAGAGGUUUGGGGAAGGGGCGGGUGGGGGGGAGCCAGGGGGUUCCUUGCAGCUGGUUCCCGUGUGCGUGGUUCCGGAUGUGCGUUAAGCGGAGCGGUUCGUGGUUGGCGUCGAGCACCGAUUUGCGGGCGGCCGUCGCUGUGGGCAGCCAGGCGGUGUCCCGGGGCUUUUGUGGGUCCGGUCUCGGUUCCGCGAGGGUUUGGCCCCGUCCCCCGGCGCUGGAGGGCGGCUCUUCCUGAGGGGGCCUCCGGUUCCUGGGGCGGACUUCCCUGCGCGAGACGGUUUCCAAGCUCCUCUGUGCCGCGGCGCCCCCCCUGGCGAGGACUUCCACCGCGUGGCGUUCCUGCUUUCCGGUGCUCGAGGUCAAGCGGGCGUGUGCAGUGGGGCGACAAGGAUCGACCGCGGGAGGGACUUCCUUCUACUCGGCCGUGCAAGCUUCUUCGUUCGCAAGGAUCGUCUGUCGACGCAUCAUUGUUGUCAUCAUCAUCAUCAUCAUCAUCAUCCAUUGAUUCAUCUGUUGCCAUAAUCGUCCAUCAACGCGCAAUUCUACGGUUUUCAACAUGCGUGACGCUUCGUCGUGCUGAGUUUUUUGCUAAGUUGCCGAAGUUUAUUCAAGUCUCAUUGCGACUUUAAAUUCGGGCUUGCUUCAUAUGUUUGAUAGGUCUUAUCUAUGAAAGAAUUUCGUACAAAAUGGCAAAUGACGCUCCGUCUGGCGAUUUUAAGCGAACGUGCAUGAGACACUUUCUGUAAAUCUGGCACCUAAUAGAUAUUUUUAUACCACAAAUUUUCAGCGUGCUGAAAUAUACUAGAAGACCGGUGUUUGCAUUAACAUUCUACUUCGCAGCCAAAUUGAGGAAAUUCAUUAGGAAAUAUUUGCUUAAAAAAAAUAUUAAAAGGGCGGACAAAAUUUGUCCUUUUAGCCUGGAAACAAGCUCUUGUAUGAAUAGCCCGAUAUAACAAAGUUCGCUGAAUUUGACAAAGCAAGAAACAACAUAAUUACAUUUGAAACCAAUUUAAUUUGAUUUUGAAAUCUUCGUUUCGGGGAAUAUCUGAAAAUCGUGAACGUGUUUCGAAUAUUCCACGCUACUACGUGAAACCAUUCUCGCGCUUCUAUUUGAGAAUCGUCAAAUUUACAACGCGCACGCUUGUUUCUUCCACUGAAAAAUAUUGACUCGUCCUUUCAAAUGUUGAAAUUCGUACAGACUUCUGUGUACUAUUCAAGAGUUUGCCGACUCGUGGCGAUGUGCCCUCACUUGGAUCAAAACUUUGAUGAAAAUGGCUUUCAACUGUCCAAAUGACAAAAUCUUGGUUUUCACUCAUGAUAUGCAAAUCUCUUCAUGCGUGUUCAUAUUCGUUUCAGUAGAAAUAUAGACUUGUGAAGUGUGUUCCAGAUGUUCACUAGAAUGGCUUGGAAUGCCCAAAGAACAGAAAUGUCAAGCAUUUGUAUAGUUCCCAAGUUUUGUGACCUAUGAAAUGGAAAGUUGCAUUUGUACAAAACUAUGCUAUCGCCAGAUGAAAUUUUGCUGAUCUUGGAAAUUUGCUGGAAUUAUUUACUAGAUAUCUGCAGUUUCGCAAUGCGAUAUACGUUAUGAACUUGUUUCAGUCACCGAAUUUGUUUCCUCUUAUCUGAAAUUAUGAUCGUGCUCGUGCGUGCAAAUGUAUUUUGAAAUUUGCUGUAUUUUAUGCGUCUGAUUUGUUCCGCGACACCAUAAUUCGCAAAGUAUGACUACGGCUUCAGACAUGUCAUGGCGAUUUUCUGUGGUUGACAUUUUGCAAUAGUGUUCAUUUGGUUAGCUGUUCAUUUCAAAAUACCUUUUUUCGCGUUUUAUGCAUUCGAGCUAUCAUAAUGGUCCGCGAUUGCUGGCAUUCAACCUGAUCGGUGUCGGUUAUGACCUUGACAAUUCGGUCGGACAUUUUGUGGUGAUUCAUUCAUUUCUGACGACGAUUGCCGUUGAUUCGCUGAAAUAUUUUUAGUGAUUUACUAUUGCGUAAAAAACCGGCAAUGAAAUAUUGAACUGAAAGCAGUUGCACAAUGAAGCUGUAUGGCAAUUUUACUUCCGAAGCAAUUAAGACAAUGAAAUGGGCCAUGUUUGGCACUUUUAAUAUGGAGUCUAUGAAGAGAACGACUUGUGUUGAACUGGAUGCUCUAAAUCGAAAUCGGUCAUAUUGAUCAGUUUUACUACCGUUUCUACGAAGAUAUGACAUUCAACUGAAAACUGUUCCGAAUCGAAACUGGCAGUUUUAAUACUGAAUUUAUGAAGACAUGGCAGUUUUAAUACUGAAUUUCUGAAGAUAGAAAUGUUACUGAAUGAAUACUGCUACAAAUUGAAACUUAUGCCUGGCGGUUUUAAUAUUGAAUUCAUGAAGACAAUGAAGUAUGAAACUAAACAUGUUCCAAGAAUUUUAAACCAUGGCAGUAAAAUGAAUUUCAAUACCGACUGAGGGCUGACGUUUCAAACUGAAUGCCAUUGCUAAUCAAAAUCUGCCAUGGUUAACAUUUUCAACAAUAAAUCCAUAACGAAAAUCUUGAAAGGCCAAGUUGGUCUUCAAAUCUGGACAAAAAGACGUGAAUGUUGCAAAGGACUUUGAAACUGGAGACUUUAAUAGCAAAUUAUAAUGCAAUGAAACCUUAAAUGCCGUUUCAAAUCGAAACCAGCCGUGUUUGGCACUUUUAUUACGGAAUUCGUGGAGCGAAUGAUGCGGAAUUCUGCUGUGAAUCGAACAAGAUACCAACUAAAUUCUGUGAAGAGUAAAAAAGAAUCAUCUUUGAAGAAAAUAGCGGACGUCCUGAGGAAUUGAAGCCAGCCAUAUUUGGCACUGUGAAAUACAAAAUCUAUUACAGCUUGCUAUAAACGAAAUGCGAUAAACCGCCGUUUUUUUGCAAUAUUUUUAUAAUGCAGUGUAUCGGUCAAGUUGCGCAGGAAAUACGUGAAGAUCAGUAUGCUAUUGCUUUCCACAUGAUGUGCUGAAGAUACUGAUGUACGAAACUACAAUCUAUGGUUACUGCGGUUCAUGCAUUUGACGACUGUUUGAUUUUGCGAUUCAUGCUUUUGAUUGAAGAUUGCAAUUCAUACGAUUCAGUUCUGAAAUUCAUACGCUUGAGUUCGGAUUUGUCAUUGCAUUCAAAGUAUUCACCUCGGUUUGAUCGCGAAUGAACGCUGUCUAAUACUGAAAUUGAAAUGUAUUGCAAUUCAUACGCUUGAGUUGGGAUUUGUCAUUGCAUUCAAAGUAUUCACCUCGGUUUGAUCGCGAAGGAACGCUGUCUAAUACUGAAAUUGAUAUGUAUCAUUUUUAUUUUGCGCGCUAAAAUUUGAUAAUGUCUGGAUAUGAAUAUUUACAAAAUAUGCCAAUAAGCCGGUCGCGCAUCAUAAAGCUGAAUGAACGAAUAUUCUACAUCCUGUAUUUAUGCAUUUUCAUAAUGACUGCAUUCAUUCAUUGUAUUGAUCAGCGCGUCAUUGCAAAUCGUCCAGCGCAACUCUUCUUCAUAAUAGAAGUCAAGUCACUAUGCUUGUAUAAUUCGGCUUCAUAUUUAUAGAAGUCAAGUUACAAUGCUUGUAUAAUUCUAAAUAACUGAUAUGAUCUAUAUGGAUACGAGAACUAUUUCAUAUUUUUAUCUUUUCAUAUUUUUAUCUUGACGUUUUCGCGGUCAUAAAAAUCGACCCUAUCAUGCGCGCUGAUCUGUGGAACCCAUCCCAUGACAAUUCAUCGCUUCAUGCGCGUGGUGAGUGCAAACGUUGCUGUGAUAAUGUAUGAUCAUUAUUUAUUAUAUCAGAAAAUAAAGAAAAAUCAACUUUAAAGGAAAAUAACAAAAAAAAUUAUUAAAAAAAAAGCAAACCAGCUAUAAAAAAAAUUCAAUUGGCCUAAUUAAAAACAAAGGUGUGGUAUUGGGGCAGGUGCAAGGGGUGAAGGGAGCCUGCCAUAAAAAAAUGUGCUAAACAUGGCAACGUUUGCUUUCCAACUUGAUAUACGAGAAGUUUGAACCUUGAUUAUGUUCAACGCAAAUUCGAGGUGUCUGCUGCAAAACUGGGCCUAAUAAACAACUUAACAAGCA
rnacentral:lncRNA from 1 species